CCUACGGGAGGCAGCAGUGAGGAAUAUUGGUCAAUGGGCUUACGCCUGAACCAGCCAAGUCGCGUGAGUGAAGACUGCCCUAUGGGUUGUAAACCUCUUUUGUCAGGGAGCAAUUGGCGCUACGUGUAGCGUUAUCGAGAGUACCUGAAGAAAAAGCAUCGGCUAACUCCGUGCCAGCAGCCGCGGUAAUACGGAGGAUGCGAGCGUUAUCCGGCUUUAUUGGGUUUAAAGGGUGCGUAGGCGGAAUGCCAAGUCAGCGGUAAAAUCGCGGGGCUCAACCUCGCUCCGCCGUUGAAACUGGCGUGCUUGAGUGGGCGAGAGGUAUGCGGAAUGCGUGGUGUAGCGGUGAAAUGCAUAGAUAUCACGCAGAACUCCGAUUGCGAAGGCAGCAUACCGGCGCCCAACUGACGCUGAAGCACGAAAGCGUGGGUAUCGAACAGGAUUAGAUACCCCUGUAGUC
rnacentral:rRNA from 1 species